rnacentral:lncRNA from 1 species
CGGCUCUGGCAUCCAAAGAUCCUACCAUUGACAGUGGCACUUCCAGAUCUGCAAUUUGAAGGCAGAGGAGAACAUUCUCCCAAUGUUUGGAGAGUGUUAUUCUGCUGGUCUGAUUGCCUCUUGCCUUUGCUGCUUUCUUCCCUGAGUUUCC